ensembl:lncRNA
GAAAUGGACUUGGGGGUAUUGAGUGACACUAGACUGAACAUGAGCCAGCAGUGUGCCCAGGUGGCCAAGAAGGUCAAUGGCAUCCUGGCUUGUAUCAGAAAUAGUGUGGCCAGCAGGAACAGGGAAGUAAUUAUCCCCCUGUACUCAGCACUGGUGAAGCUGCACCUUGAGUACUGUGUCCAGUUUUGGGCCCCUCACUGUAAGAAAGACAUCGAGGCCCUGGAGCGUGUCCAGAGGAGGGCAACAAAGCUGGUGAGGGGUCUGGAGCACAGGCCUUAUGAAGAGUGGCUGACGGAGCUGGGAUUGUUCAGUCUAGAGAAGAGGAGGCUCAGGGGAGACCUUAUUGCUCUCUAUAACUACCUGAAGGGAGGUUGUAGUGAGCUGGGGGUCAGCCUCUUCUCUUGUGUGACUAGUGAUAGGACUAGAGGGAAUGGCUUCAAGCUGCGCCAGGGAAGAUUCAGGCUGGACAUUAGGAAAUACUACUUCCCUGAGAGGGUGGUCAGGCACUGGAAUGGGCUGCCCAGAGGGGUGGUGGAGUCACCGAGCCUGGUGGUGUUCAAAGAGCAUUUGGAUGUUGUGCUGAGGGACAUGGUUUAGCGAGAACCAUUGGUGAUGGGUGAAUGGUUGGACUGGAUGGUCCUGUGGGUCUUUUCCAACCUUAGCGAUUCUAUGAUUCUAUAAUUCUAUCAAACAGCAGGCAUUACAUUUGGACCGAUCUUUGUGUAUGCAGUCCAAGAGAAUUC